GACAGAGGUGCCAAGCGUUAGGCGGAAUCACUGGGCUUAAAGCGUGUGUAGGCGGAUCGUUAAGUACCUUGUGAAAUCCCACGGCUCAACCGUGGAACUGCUGGGUAUACUGGCGAUCUUGAGCCACCUAGGGGCGAGCGGAACAAGCGGUGGAGCGGUGAAAUGCGUAGAUAUCGCUUGGAACGCCAAUGGUGAAAACAGCUCGCUGGGGGUGUGCUGACGCUGAGACACGAAAGCCAGGGGAGCGAACGGGG
rnacentral:rRNA from 1 species